CAGCAGCCGCGGUAACACAGAGGGUGCGAGCGUUAAUCGGAUUUACUGGGCGUAAAGCGUGCGUAGGCGGCUUUUUAAGUCGGAUGUGAAAUCCCUGAGCUUAACUUAGGAAUUGCAUUCGAUACUGGGAAGCUAGAGUAUGGGAGAGGAUGGUAGAAUUCCAGGUGUAGCGGUGAAAUGCGUAGAGAUCUGGAGGAAUACCGAUGGCGAAGGCAGCCAUCUGGCCUAAUACUGACGCUGAGGUACAAAAGCAUGGGGAGCAAACAGGAUUAGAUACCCCGGUAGUCCCUGUCUCUUAUAA
rnacentral:rRNA from 1 species